rnacentral:rRNA from 1 species
CGCUGGCGGCGUGCCUAACACAUGCAAGUCGAGCGGGGAGGAGGAAGCUUGCUUCCGAAUCCUAGCGGCGGACGGGUGAGUAACGCGUGAGCAACCUGCCUCAAACAGGGGGAUAACGCAUCGAAAGAUGUGCUAAUACCGCGUAAGACCACGGCACCGCAUGGUGCAGAGGUCAAAGGAGCAAUCCGGUUUGAGAUGGGCUCGCGUCCGAUUAGCUAGUUGGUGUGAUAACGGCCCACCAAGGCGACGAUCGGUAGCCGACCUGAGAGGGUGAUCGGCCACAUUGGAACUGAGAAACGGUCCAGACUCCUACGGGAGGCAGCAGUGGGGAGUAUUGGGCAAUGGGCGAAAGCCUGACCCAGCAACGCCGCGUGAGGGAAGAAGGGUUUCGGCUCGUAAACCUCUGUCCUAUGGGACGAAAAGAAUGACGGUACCAUAGGAGGAAGCCCCGGCUAACUACGUG